rnacentral:tRNA from 1 species
GGGGUAGCUCAAGUGGAAGAGCGUCUACUCUGCAGGUAGAAGGUUACAGGUUCGAUUCCUUGUCCCC